rnacentral:rRNA from 1 species
AUUGAACGCUGGCGGCAGGCCUAACACAUGCAAGUCGAGCGGAUCGGCGGACGGGUGAGUACUGCCUAGGAAUCUGCCUGGUAGUGGGGGAUCCCGUCCGGAAACGGGCGCUAAUACCGCAUACUCUCAGUUGAGCCUCGGUCGGAUUCGCUCGUUGGUGGGUUAAAGGCCUACCAAGGCGACGAUCCGUAACUGGUCUGAGAGGAUGAUCAGUCGAACUGAAACUGAAACACGGUCCAGACUGCUACGGGAGGCAGCAGUGGGGAAUAUUGGACAAUGGGCGAAAGCCUGAUCCAGCCAUGCCGCGUGUGUGAAGAAGGUCUUCGGAUUGUAAAGCACUGUAAGUUGGGAAGCGUUACCAAAAGAAUAAGCACCGGCUAACUACGUGCCAGCAGCCGCGGUAAUUC